AUUGAACGCUGGCGGCAGGCCUAACACAUGCAAGUCGAGCGGAUGAAGGGAGCUUGCUCCUGGAUUCAGCGGCGGACGGGUGAGUAAUGCCUAGGAAUCUGCCUGGUAGUGGGGGAUAACGUCCGGAAACGGGCGCUAAUACCGCAUACGUCCUGAGGGAGAAAGUGGGGGAUCUUCGGACCUCACGCUAUCAGAUGAGCCUAGGUCGGAUUAGCUAGUCGGUGGGGUAAAGGCCUACCAAGGCGACGAUCCGUAACUGGUCUGAGAGGAUGAUCAGUCACACUGGAACUGAGACACGGUCCAGACUCCUACGGGAGGCAGCAGUGGGGAAUAUUGGACAAUGGGCGAAAGCCUGAUCCAGCUAUGCCGCGUGUGUGAAGAAGGUCUUCGGAUUGUAAAGCACUUUAAGUGGGGAGGAAGGGCAGUAAGUUAAUACCUUGCUGUUUUGACGUUACCAACAGAAUAAGCACCGGCUAACUUCGUG
rnacentral:rRNA from 1 species